GAUGAACGCUGACCGAAUGCUUAACACAUGCAAGUCGAUGGGGAAGUGGUGCUUGCACCCUGGUAACCAUGGCGGACGGGUGAGUAACGCGUAAGGAACUUGCCUGCGGGACUGGGAUAACAGCAGGAAACUGCUGAUAAUACCGGAUAAGGUCAUUAAGCUGCAUAGCUUAGUGAUGAAAGGAGACGCCUGCGGAGAGCCUUGCGUCCUAUUAGCUAGUUGGAGGGGUAACGGCCCACCAAGGCGAAGAUAGGUAGCCGGCCUGAGAGGGUGGACGGCCACAAGGGGACUGAGAUACGGCCCUUACUCCUACGGGAGGCAGCAGGGGGGAAUAGUGGACCAUGGGGGCAACCCUGAUCCAGCAAUUCUGUGUGCACGAAGACGGUUUUCGGAUUGUAAAGUGCUUUCAGCAGGGAAGAAGGAAGUGACGGUACCUGCAGAAGAAGCGACGGCUAAAUACGUG
rnacentral:rRNA from 1 species